AGUGAACGCUGGCGGCAGGCCUAAUACAUGCAAGUCGAACGGCAGCACAGCAGAGCUUGCUCUGUGGGUGGCGAGUGGCGGACGGGUGAGGAAUACGUGGGAAUCUGCCCAGUCGUGGGGGAUAACGUAGGGAAACUUACGCUAAUACCGCAUGCGCCCUUCGGGGGAAAGGCCGGGGACCGUUCGGGCCUGGCGCGAUUGGAUGAGCCCACGUCGGAUUAGCUAGUUGGCGGGGUAAAGGGCCCACCAAGGCGACGAUCCGUAGCUGGUCUGAGAGGAUGAUCAGCCACACUGGAACUGAGACACGGUCCAGACUCCUACGGGAGGCAGCAGUAGGGAAUAUUGGACAAUGGGCGCAAGCCUGAUCCAGCCAUGCCGCGUGAGUGAAGAAGGCCCUCGGGUUGUAAAGCUCUUUUGUCCGGAAAGAAAAGCGCCGGGUUAAUACCCUGGUGUCCUGACGGUACCGGAAGAAUAAGCACCGGCUAACUUCGUGCCAGCAGCCGCGGUAA
rnacentral:rRNA from 1 species